AACCAGUUCCAGAAAGGGCAGAGAUCAUAUUUAACUCAGUAAGGACAGUUUCAUCAGGGUAGUAGGAAAAAGAGAUUGCAGAAGGCAGAGGAUUGGUGAGAAGUGAGGUGGCUCUUUUGAACGUGUUUCUAUUCUGAGGGGAAGCACCAGAAGCAAGGAAGUAACUUUAGACCAAACAGAACUGGGGAUAAGUGGUUGAGUGGAGUUGAAGUCACAGAACCUAUGAAAGCACCAGCCAGGGAGGAAGGAAGACGUCCAGUUCCUGAGCCCAGAAACCCCAGGCAGAUGAACACGUGAAUGGACCGUGUGCAGAGAGGUAAGUAAGAGGAUUGACCUGGUUUGUUUACUAAGGAGACAUUCCUGGAGGUGUCUAGGAGAGAUGUCCUGGGAUACAAGCAGAUGUGGAGAUACUAAUUACAAUAGUCAAAAUUAGAGGUAUGGAAAAAGUAAACAGAUGGAGGCCUCUGAAACAUGAAGGGAAGCAUGCAGAACUUCCCGGACCAGGG